GCUGUGGCUCAGCGGUAGAGCAUCUGCCUGGCAUGCAAAAGGCCCCAGGUUCCAUCCCCGGCAUCUCCA
rnacentral:tRNA from 1 species